ACGUCCUACGGGGGGCAGCAGUGGGGAGUAUUGCACAAUGGGGGAAACCCUGAUGCAGCGACGCCGCGUGAGUGAAGAAGUAUUUCGGUAUGUAAAGCUCUAUCAGCAGGAACGAGACAAGACGGUACCUGACUAAGAAGCCCCGGCUAACUACGUGCCAGCAGCCGCGGUAAUACGUAGGGGGCAAGCGUUAUCCGGAAUCACUGGGUGUAAAGGGAGCGUAGACGGAGGAGCAAGUCUGAUGUGAAAAUCCGGGGCCCAACCCCGGAACUGCAUUGGAAACUGUUUAUCUAGAGUGUCGGAGG
rnacentral:rRNA from 1 species